UACGUAGGUGGCGAGCGUUGUCCGGAAUUACUGGGUGUAAAGCGCGUGUAGGCGGGAGGCCAAGUCUGUGGUGAAAUCGCUCGGCUUAACUGGGCGGGGUCCAUGGAAACUGGUCACCUGGAGGUCGGUAGAGGCAAGUGGAAUUCCCGGUGUAGUGGUGAAAUGCGUAGAGAUCGGGAGGAACACCAGUGGCGAAGGCGGCUGCUGGGCCGGACCUGACGCUGAGACGCGAAGGCGUGGGGAGCGAA
rnacentral:rRNA from 1 species